UGGGGGAUAUUGCACAAUGGGCGAAAGCCUGAUGCAGCGACGCCGCGGGGGGGAUGAAGGCUUUCGGGUUGUAAACCUCUUUCGCUAUCGAACAAGGCCCGCUUAGGGUGGGUUGAGGGUAGGUGGAGAAGAAGCGCCGGCUAACUACGUGCCAGCAGCCGCGGUAAUACGUAGGGCGCGAGCGUUGUCCGGAAUUAUUGGGCGUAAAGGGCUUGUAGGCGGCUUGUUGCGCCUGCUGUGAAAACGCGGGGCUUAACUUCGCGCGUGCAGUGGGUACGGGCAGGCUUGAGUGUGGUAGGGGUGACUGGAAUUCCAGGUGUAGCGGUGGAAUGCGCAGAUAUCUGGAGGAACACCGAUGGCGAAGGCAGGUCACUGGGCCAUUACUGACGCUGAGGAGCGAAAGCAUGGGUAGCGAACAGG
rnacentral:rRNA from 2 species